UAAAAUCAACGCCGGGAGUUCGAUCCUGAUAUAGGAGCUUAUACCAAUUUUAAAUGAACGUGCCGGAUUACCACCAGACACAGAACUCGCUUUAUAUGAGGGAAUUAAACCAAAUUUAGUCGAGAAAAUAGAUAACCUAUCGGAGCCUUUGGAAAAAUUUCUGGAGGAAUUAAUGGACGGUGACAUCAUCGUAUUUCAAAAGGAAGGCGACAAUGAAAUGUACGAACUUCCAACGUGUCGAGAAUAUUUUAAAGAUCUAUUCUAUAGGGUAGAAGUAACGUUUUGUGAUAAACUGAUUCCGAACGACCCAGGUUUUACAAUGGAACUUUCGUUAAGAAUGACAUAUGAUCAAAUGGCAAAGGCUGUAGCGCAAUGAGUCGGCACAGAUCCGUAUCUUUUACAAUUCUUUAAGUGUCAAAAUUACAAAGAUUCUCCCGGCCAUCCUUUAAAGUGUACAUUUGACGGCACGCUCAAAGAAUUGGUUGCGUACUGCAAAACGAAAGUAAAGAAAUUAUUUUAUCAGCAGCUCAGUAUUAGGGUGAACGAGCUAGAAAACAAGAAACAGUUCAAGUGCAUAUGGGUAGGGCCGUCGCUUAAGGAGGAGAAGGAGAUGAUUCUUUACCCAAAUAAAAACGGCACUGUUGCUAAUUUACUCGAGGAGGCUAAGAAGCAGGUAGAAUUAUCGGAAAACGGAUCGGGGAAACUGAGGAUAUUAGAAAUGACUUGCAACAAGCUGUCACCCGGCCCCGUGGACGAUACACCAUUAGAUCACUUAAACACAUCAGGCACCAAGUUGUACAGGAUAGAAGAAAUACCGGUUGACGA